rnacentral:rRNA from 1 species
GAUGAACGCUGGCGGCGUGCCUAAUACAUGCAAGUCGAGCGAACAGACGAGGAGCUUGCUCCUCUGACGUUAGCGGCGGACGGGUGAGUAACACGUGGAUAACCUACCUAUAAGACUGGGAUAACUUCGGGAAACCGGAGCUAAUACCGGAUAAUAUAUUGAACCGCAUGGUUCAAUAGUGAAAGACGGUUUUGCUGUCACUUAUAGAUGGAUCCGCGCCGCAUUAGCUAGUUGGUAAGGUAACGGCUUACCAAGGCGACGAUGCGUAGCCGACCUGAGAGGGUGGUAGGCCACACUGGAGCGUGAACGCGGACAAGACUCCUAAGGGAGGCAGCAGUAGGGAAUGGUCCGCAAUGGGCGAGAGCCUGACGGAGCAACGGCGCGUGAGUGAUGAAGGUGUUCGGUUCGUAAAACUCUGUUAUUAGUGAAGAACAAAUGUGUAAGUAAAUAUGGCCGUCUUGACGGUACCUAAUCAGAAAGCAACGGCUAACUACGUG